AAAGCCUAUGUGUUGCCAAUGNGUUGCCAAAUGUCGGUUCUGUUUACUCGCGAGUACAACCGGUGCUUAAAGCGCCAGAGACACUUUUGCCUUGUCUGAGAGGGGCUUGUGCUCAUCGGUAACAGAACUUUAUUCAAUCGAUUGGGUGGCUAGAGCAGUUAGCAGAUUCAGUCGUAGCGGUAGAUGUUUAUGUACCUACCGAUGCGGCUGUUUCGGAAGACGCUGGCUGCGUGAGCGCGAGUCGUGAUCUUAUGCCCUAUCAUGACUUGACCUAGGUUCGGUCGAACUCGUCACGAGUUUCCUAGGUUGAUGCGCUAGUCUUGAAUAGUUCCGUUGGCCUGCGACUGAGGCCGUGAAGCGAGUUUACUCGCUUGACCCCCUCCAUUGACGGAACAGCCCAAUUGAACCUAAUUUUCCAAUACCUGUUGAUUCGGUUAUGCCCUCGAUUCAACAGUAAAGGUCGUGUAAUGCGCCCUUUGCUGCCGACGUUGUUAUGCCUAACGUCGAGCAGCUAAAAAUUAUAUACUAUCAUAAUGUCUCUAGCUACACUGGCAUUACGCUACUGUACUGGAGGUUGAAAAAACUACUCUUAGCGGUGGAUCACUCGGCUCGUACUUCGAUGAAGAGCGCAGCAAACUGCGUGACUUGGUGUGAAUUGCAGGACACCUUGAUCAUCGAUAUCUUGAACGCAACUUGCGGCCAGGAUUCUCUGGAUUCUGGCUGCAUCCGGCUGAGGGUCGGUUGUGAUAAAAACACAAUGUGUUUUAAUAUCAUGACACGUUUAUAUCGCAGACUUUGUCCAUUGCGAUAGUUUUGAUGCGUGUCCGUUGAUGACUGAUGAGAUUCGCUUUUAUGCCAAGUGAAUUUCUUCGUCAUUUAAAAUGCGCGAAAGGCUCGCAUUGAUUUGAUCAUUGCGUGUUUUGCCUUGGACUUUGAUAGCCUUAUACUUUUGGUUAUUGAUAGUUCCAAGUGGUCGAUUCAAGCUGUAGCCUUUGCAACGGGUUGANGCAAGGUGAGACCCGUAUUAUUCCCA
rnacentral:rRNA from 1 species